rnacentral:tRNA from 1 species
GGGGCAUUAGCGCAGUUGGUAGCGCGUUUGAAUGGCAUUCAAAAGGCCAGGGGUUCGAAUCCCCUAUGCUCCACCA